rnacentral:rRNA from 1 species
CCUACGGGUGGCUGCAGUGGGGAAUAUUGGACAAUGGGGGGAACCCUGAUCCAGCCAUGCCGCGUGUGUGAAGAAGGCCCUCGGGUUGUAAAGCACUUUCAGUGAGGAAGAACGCCUGGUGGUUAAUACCCAUCAGGAAAGACAUCACUCACAGAAGAAGCACCGGCUAACUCCGUGCCAGCAGCCGCGGUAAUACGGAGGGUGCGAGCGUUAAUCGGAAUUACUGGGCGUAAAGCGCGCGUAGGUGGCUUGAUAAGCCGGUUGUGAAAGCCCCGGGCUCAACCUGGGAACGGCAUCCGGAACUGUCAAGCUAGAGUGCAGGAGAGGAAGGUAGAAUUCCCGGUGUAGCGGUGAAAUGCGUAGAGAUCGGGAGGAAUACCAGUGGCGAAGGCGGCCUUCUGGACUGACACUGACACUGAGGUGCGAAAGCGUGGGUAGCAAACAGGAUUAGAUACCCUUGUAAUC